rnacentral:rRNA from 1 species
GAUGAACGCUGGCGGCGUGCCUAAUACAUGCAAGUCGAGCGAACGGACGAGAAGCUUGCUUCUCUGAUGUUAGCGGCGGACGGGUGAGUAACACGUGGAUAACCUACCUAUAAGACUGGGAUAACUUCGGGAAACCGGAGCUAAUACCGGAUAAUAUUUUGAACCGCAUGGUUCAAAAGUGAAAGACGGUCUUGCUGUCACUUAUAUAUGGAUCCGCGCUGCAUUAGCUAGUUGGUAAGGUAACGGCUUACCAAGGCAACGAUGCAUAGCCGACCUGAGAGGGUGAUCGGCCACACUGGAACUGAGACACGGUCCAGACUCCUACGGGAGGCAGCAGUAGGGAAUCUUCCGCAAUGGGCGAAAGCCUGACGGAGCAACGCCGCGUGAGUGAUGAAGGUCUUCGGAUCGUAAAACUCUGUUAUUAGGGAAGAACAUAUGUGUAAGUAACUGUGCACAGCUUGACGGUACCUAAUCAGAAAGCCACGGCUAACUACGUG